GGACCGCGCUGCCCGAGUGGACGGGGCUCGCGCUCGGCGAGCGGCUGCGGCGUUCCUUCCGCUGCCCGGUCCU
rnacentral:tRNA from 1 species